AUGAGGGCCCCCGCUCAGCUCCUCAGCCUCCUGCUGCUCUGGCUCCCAGGAGCCAGGGGUGAUAUCCAGAUGACCCAGUCUCCAUCCUCCGUGUCUGCAUCUCAGGGAGACAGAGUCAUCAUGACCUGCCGGGCCAGUCAGGAUGUUAGCAAUUUAUUAUCCUGGUAUCAGCAGAAACCAGGGAAAACUCCUAUGCUCCUCAUCUAUUCUGCUUCCACAUUGCAACCUGGGGUCCCCUCCCGCUUCAGUGGCAGUAAGUCUGGGAGGGAUUUCACUCUUACCAUCAGCAGCCUGGAGGCAGAAGAUUUUGCAACUUAUUACUGUAUGCAGGAUCACAACUGGAUUCCCACAGUGAUACAGGCCUUAACAUAA